UUUAUUUCAAUUGCCGAAGUGUCGCUUGUGUGACGUUUUCCUCCUUAGUGUUUUUCUGUCUGCCGAGUGAGUCGUAGCGCGUCCUCUCCGCCUUACUGUCCGUUUAGUGUUCGUCUGCUUGCAGCAGCGUCGACCGCUCCGCUAUGGCUACCAUGGUUCCCACGUGUAUUCCACGAAAAGGCAGAAUGAAACUGUGCAUUGGACCAGAACUCUAAACUGGGACAUCAGCCUUUUGCAGGAAUACACCGAGGUGACAAGUCGUCGGACAGCGGUAUGUACACAAACAGAUGGCGAUGCUACCAUGUACACAGGAUAUAAAGGAAAACUGCAGUUGCGGAGCUGUCAUUUGCACACAGUGGUUAUUAUGAACAGCACACUGGCUGUUACAAGCACUUACUCCUAGGAUCGUGUAGGAGUUGACUCCUCCAAUGUGA